UUCGGGUCACCUAAACUCGGGGAUUGGGCUUGUGGGCCUUGGGCCCAAGCCCAAGCCCAAUUAAAAACCCUAUGUAUAAAUAGCAUUUUAUCAUUCACAAACCCUCAUUUUCCCUAAUCUUGAUCAGCCGCAUAGCAAGAAAACCCUUCCAUUUUCUUUGAUCUAUCUUAUCCUAACACACACAAAUAAAGAUUUAAGUCUUGUACCUCCUACCUCAUCUCUCUCUCUCUCUCUCGGGUAUAAGUCCAGAUCCAAAAUUUGUUUUCCAUGGAGCACACUUGGUUUAUCAUCUUCCUCUCGAUACCCUCUCGAUACCCUCGACAGACGACCGGAGAUGGGGAAGUUCUGACCGGCGCCGUCUGUUCCGGUAACCACAACAUCCACAGCCAAACACCCCCCCCCCCUCGUGCCUUCGUUUCAGGCUACGAAGAUCAGACGGAACGAGAAGGAGACGAAGAGAGAGAGAGGAUCAGAGAAGGAGACGAUGGCGGCUGUAACCGCCGGAGAUGUUGACGGCAGCGGCGGUACUGGUCGUUUUCCGGCGACUCAGCAGAGACGACAGUGACGGCGGCGACUGCCGCUGUUGACAUUGAUAAUGAUGAUGAACGUGGUGGUGAUGGUGAUAAGCCGAUGAUGAUGAUGAAGACGAACGGCUACAGCUGUUACUUUUCCGUUCCUGUACGACUCCUUUUCGGCUCAAGAUUGAUCCAGGUUAGGUUCGGAUCCACUCGGACCAGAUUGGUUGAAGUGUUCGGUCAACUCAGUACGGUUAGGUCAACCACAGGCAACAUCAAGUUUUGUUCGAGACUCGGUCACACCGAGUCGACCCGGUCAACACUCGGGUCAACUCAGUCGGGUUCGGGUCAAAGCAGUCAAGGUCAGGCAAGCUACAGGUCAACAGGUCAACGGUAGUCAACAGCAGUCAACGGUUGGUUUCGGGUCCGAGUCAGCAUAGUCAAACCAAGUCAGUUUCGGUUUGGUCAACCGUGGUCAACGUCAGGUCAACGUGAGGUCAAAUUCGGUCAAACCAAGACCCGGUAACAACUUAAACGUAGCGAAUUAUUAUUGUUACGUAAUUUAGAUUUUAGAUAGUUACGCGACCGAGCUCGACCCGAAUCAAUUAGUGAUUAGUUACGCUUUAUUUUGUCGUAUUUCAUAAAAUUUUAGCAUAUAGUAUUUGAAGUGAUUGA